GAUGAAGAACGCAGCGAAAUGCGAUAAGUAAUGUGAAUUGCAGAAUUCAGUGAAUCAUCGAAUCUUUGAACGCACAUUGCGCCCAUUAGUAUUCUAGUGGGCAUGCCUGUUCGAGCGUCAUUUCAACCCUUAAGCCUAGCUUAGUGUUGGGAGACUGCCUAAUACGCAGCUCCUCAAAACCAGUGGCGGAGUCUGUUCGUGCUCUGAGCGUAGUAAUUUUUUAUCUCGCUUCUGCAAGCCGGCCAGACGACAGCCAUCAACCGCACCCUCUCGGGGGGCACUUUUUUAAUGGUUGACCUCGGAUCAGGUAGGAAUACCCGCUGAACUUAAGCAUAUCAAUAAGCGGAGGA
rnacentral:misc_RNA from 1 species